AUAAAAUAUAAUAUUUCUGACUAAUGUCUGCGAUUGCAAAAUGAUACUGUUGCGUCCACAGAAAAAUUGUCCGUGGGUGCAAGUGCGCUCUCAGUGCCCCCGACAUAUACCGUCACUGCAGGAUUUAUUAUUAUUAUUUGUUUUAUAUUUUCGUACAACGAAAUUUUUUUCCUUUGAUUCCAUAAGUGUACCUACGUAUUUUCAAAACCUAUGCAUGCAGUGUUUAACAGUGACGGUUAUAAUCGACUCAGUGUUCUAAAAUUCAAUUCACACAAUCAUUACCAUGAUUAAUACUCUUUUAUGAUUAUUUAUGAUAAACAAAAAACGUACUAGGAGGGAGGGAGGAGGAGGUGAUCCGUCUAUCUUCCCUCUAAUAAUCGCCACUAUAUUCAUUUCCGAAACUCGAGUUCGGUUGUAUUGAACGUUAUAGGAAAUUUACUCGAGCUCUUCUUCCCCGGGUCCGACGAUACAGCGUUUUGCUACAUUGACUGUACGUGCGGUUGAAAAACCGAAACGGCUUUCUUCUCGGACGGGCGUCGUCGUCGUCGUCGUCAAAUUCACGCGGGCACGUUAGGCGUUUACCGGGUUUCCGGCGACUAGGUUACUCUCUUAAUCGCGGGGCAUGGUC